rnacentral:rRNA from 1 species
CGUUCCCGGACCUUGUACACACCGCCCGUCAAGCGAUGGAACGCUGGGAGGACCUGAAGACACGUUGCUGUAAGGCGCUGUUAGGUAAACCGGUGACUGGCGCU